AGCAUAUCAAUAAGCGGAGGAAAAGAAACCAACAGGGAUUGCCUUAGUAGCGGCGAGUGAAGCGGCAAAAGCUCAAAUUUGAAAUCUGGCACUUUCAGUGUCCGAGUUGUAAUUUGAAGAAGGUAUCUUUGGGUCUGGCUCUUGUCUAUGUUUCUUGGAACAGAACGUCACAGAGGGUGAGAAUCCCGUGCGAUGAGAUGACCCAGACCUAUGUAAAGUUCCUUCGAAGAGUCGAGUUGUUUGGGAAUGCAGCUCUAAGUGGGUGGUAAAUUCCAUCUAAAGCUAAAUAUUGGCGAGAGACCGAUAGCGAACAAGUACAGUGAUGGAAAGAUGAAAAGAACUUUGAAAAGAGAGUGAAAAAGUACGUGAAAUUGUUGAAAGGGAAGGGCUUGAGAUCAGACUUGGUAUUUUGUAUGUUACUCUCUCGGGGGUGGCCUCUACAGUUUACCGGGCCAGCAUCAGUUUGGGCGGUAGGACAAUUGCAAAGAAAUGUGGCACUGCCUCGGUAGUGUGUUAUAGUCUUUGUCGAUACUGCCAGCCUAGACUGAGGACUGCGGCU
rnacentral:rRNA from 1 species